rnacentral:rRNA from 1 species
UCAAAAAUUAACCCAAGCCAGUUUUAGUAUUAACCAAUUAUACUGUGAAACUGCGAAUGGCUCAUUAAAUCAGUUAUCGUUUAUUUGAUAGUACCUUACUACAUGGAUACCCGUGGUAAUUCUAGAGCUAAUACAUGCUAAAAACCCCAACUUCGGGAGGGGUGUAUUUAUUAGAUAAAAAACCAAUGCCCUUCGGGGCUCCUUGGUGAAUCAUAAUAACUAAACGAAUCGCAUGGCCUUGCGCCG